AUCUAGCUGACGAGUCCCAAACAGGACGAAACGCGUGUCAAACUGGAU
rnacentral:hammerhead_ribozyme from 1 species